rnacentral:rRNA from 1 species
CAAGAGCGUAUAUUAAAGUUGUUGCAGUUAAAAAGCUCGUAGUUGGAUUUCUGGUACAAUGCGCCUGGCCCGCGGCAGUAAUGCCUGUGAGUGCCGGUGCGCGUUUGCCAUCCUUCUAGAAAACGUUUCUACCCUUUACUGGGCCGGACUCGCGAUCUAGAUCUUUUACUUUGAAAAAAUUAGAGUGUUCAAAGCAGGCUUUUGCUGUGAAUACAUUAGCAUGGAAUAAUAAUCUAGGACUUCGGUUUUAGUUUUUGUUUGGUUUUCGUUAGUAGCUGAGGUAAGUGAUUAAUUAGGGAGUAGUUGGGGGUCGAUUCGUAUUUAACUUAGUC